rnacentral:rRNA from 1 species
GAUGAACGCUGGCGGCGUGCCUAAUACAUGCCAGUAGAACGCUGAAGGAGGAGCUUGCUCUUCUGGAUGAGUUGCGAACGGGUGAGUAACGCGUAGGUAACCUGCCUGGUAGCGGGGGAUAACUAUUGGAAACGAUAGCUAAUACCGCAUGACAACAGUUAUUGCAUGAUAACUGUUUAAAAGGGGCAACUGCUCCACUACCAGAUGGACCUGCGUUGUAUUAGCUAGUUGGUGAGGUAACGGCUCACCAAGGCGACGAUACAUAGCCGACCUGAGAGGGUGAUCGGCCACCCUGGGACUGAGACACGGCCCAGACUCCUACGGGAGGCAGCAGUAGGGAAUCUUCGGCAAUGGACGGAAGUCUGACCGAGCAACGCCGCGUGAGUGAAGAAGGUUUUCGGAUCGUAAAGCUCUGUUGUAAGAGAAGAACGAGUGUGAGAGUGGAAAGUUCACACUGUGACGGUAUCUUACCAGAAAGGGACGGCUAACUACGUG